AGUCUUAUAUUCAAUUAUGAUAUAAAAUUGCAAAUUUUAAGGUGUAAAAAUUUCUAAGGCUU
rnacentral:tRNA from 1 species